rnacentral:miRNA from 1 species
UAUGGCCAUAUAAGAUGAUGGUGAUAAUGAUGAAGAUUGAUCGUUACCCAUCAACAGCACAUAAUCUCUAUAGACCAUCAUCAUCAUCAUCAUCAUCAUCAUCAUCA